rnacentral:rRNA from 1 species
AACGAACGCUGGCGGCAUGCCUAACACAUGCAAGUCGAACGAGACCUUCGGGUCUAGUGGCGCACGGGUGCGUAACGCGUGGGAACCUGCCCUUAGGUUCGGAAUAACUCCCCGAAAGGGGUGCUAAUACCGGAUAAUGUCUUCGGACCAAAGAUUUAUCGCCUUUGGAUGGGCCCGCGUUGGAUUAGCUAGUUGGUAGGGUAAAAGCCUACCAAGGCGACGAUCCAUAGCUGGUCUGAGAGGAUGAUCAGCCACACUGGGACUGAGACACGGCCCAGACUCCUACGGGAGGCAGCAGUGGGGAAUAUUGGACAAUGGGCGAAAGCCUGAUCCAGCAAUGCCGCGUGAGUGAUGAAGGCCUUAGGGUUGUAAAGCUCUUUUACCCGGGAUGAUAAUGACAGGGCCGGGAGAAUAAGCUCCGGCUAACUCCGU